rnacentral:misc_RNA from 1 species
GGGUAUUCUUCCUCUUUGUUGGUUGUGUUGUUUGGAUUCUUGAGCAUCGGAUGAAUCCUGAAUUCCGCGGUCCACCGAGGAAACAACUGAUUACAGUGUUCUGGUUUAGUUUCUCAACCAUGUUUUUCGCGCACAGAGAGAACACAUUGAGCACCUUGGGACGCUGUGUGCUGAUUUUCUGGCUCUUUGUGGUUUUAAUCAUCAAUUCGAGCUAUACAGCUAGCUUGACAUCUAUCCUGACAG